rnacentral:misc_RNA from 1 species
AACGGUCUAUACCUGCGGUACCUGCGGAAGGAUCAUUAACAAUUAGAGAUUCUGACCCUAUCCACCUUGUGUGCAAACUCGAGAAAAAGCCUACUUUGGAGAGAUUAUUCUUUGAUCUCUCCAAAGAGGUCAUCCCAAUCAAUCAUUUUUUUCUUUUCUAUAAUCCAAAAAAAAAAUUAAAUAAAAAACAACUUUUAGCAACGGAUCUCU